rnacentral:tRNA from 1 species
GGAAAUGUAGCUCAGUUGGCAGAGCAUCUGACUGUUAAUCAGAGGGGCGCAGGUUCAAGCCCUGCCGUUUCCGCCA